rnacentral:rRNA from 1 species
CAGUCGCCGCGGGAAUACGGAGGGUGCAAGCGUUAUCCGGAUUUAUUGGGUUUAAAGGGUCCGUAGGCGGACUUAUAAGUCAGUGGUGAAAGCCUGUCGCUUAACGAUAGAACUGCCAUUGAUACUGUAAGUCUUGAGUAUAUUUGAGGUAGCUGGAAUAAGUAGUGUAGCGGUGAAAUGCAUAGAUAUUACUUAGAACACCAAUUGCGAAGGCAGGUUACCAAGAUAUAACUGACGCUGAGGGACGAAAGCGUGGGUAGCGAACAGGAUUAGAUACCCCCGUAGUCCCUGUCUUUUAUAC